rnacentral:rRNA from 1 species
GAUGAACGCUGGCGGCGUGCUUAACACAUGCAAGUCGAACGAAGCACCUUGAUUUGAUUCUUCGGAUGAAGAUCUUGGUGACUGAGUGGCGGACGGGUGAGUAACGCGUGGGUAACCUGCCUCAUACAGGGGGAUAACAGUUAGAAAUGACUGCUAAUACCGCAUAAGACCACAGCACCGCAUGGUGCAGGGGUAAAAACUCCGGUGGUAUGAGAUGGACCCGCGUCUGAUUAGGUAGUUGGUGGGGUAACGGCCUACCAAGCCGACGAUCAGUAGCCGACCUGGGAGGGUGACCGGCCACAUUGGGACUGAGACACGGCCCAAACUCCUACGGGAGGCAGCAGUGGGGAAUAUUGCACAAUGGGGGAAACCCUGAUGCAGCGACGCCGCGUGAGCGAUGAAGUAUUUCGGUAUGUAAAGCUCUAUCAGCAGGGAAGAAAAUGACGGUACCUGACUAAGAAGCACCGGCUAAAUACGU